AUGGAGGUAUGAGAAUCAACCAAAAACUGCUGAAACAAACGCUUAGAAUGCAGAAGUGUAUGACACUCAUUCUCCCUUUCCCGUAGACGAAACGCAUACCACUGCCUCAUACUAAUAGUCUGUCUCUUUAGUUUAGCAGUAGCCUCUGUCUCUCUCUUUUUAAUCUCAAGUCUGAAACCAUCUUCACCAUAAGUAAAUAUUAGAGGAUAUUGAAGUGCCAAGUAAGAAGGGUGA
rnacentral:lncRNA from 1 species